rnacentral:rRNA from 1 species
UACGUAGGGCGCAAGCGUUGUCCGGAAUUAUUGGGCGUAAAGAGCUCGUAGGCGGUUUGUCGCGUCUGCUGUGAAAACCUAAGGCUCAACCUUGGGCUUGCAGUGGGUACGGGCAGACUAGAGUGCGGUAGGGGUGACUGGAAUUCCUGGUGUAGCGGUGGAAUGCGCAGAUAUCAGGAGGAACACCGAUGGCGAAGGCAGGUCGCUGGGCCGCAACUGACGCUGAGGAGCGAAAGCAUGGGGAGCGAACAGG